GCAUCGGUGGUUCAGUGGUAGAAUGCUCGCCUGCCACGCAGUUUGAUUCCCGGCCGAUGCA
rnacentral:tRNA from 1 species